UAUCCUGGGCUUGACAUGGCAGGACGUAGUUCGGCGGAAACGUCGGACGACCGGUAUCCAAUCCGGAGCCUGUCACAGGUGCUGCAUGGCUGUCGUCAGCUCGUGUCGUGAGAUGUCGGGUUAAGUCCCAUAACGAGCGAAACCCUUGUCUCCAGUUGCCAUCAUUCAGUUGGGCACUCUGGAGAGACUGCCGGUGUUAAACCGGAGGAAGGUGGGGAUGACGUCAAGUCCUCAUGGCCUUUAUGCCCAGGGCUGCACACGUGCUACAAUGGCGUGCACAGAGGGAGGCAAACCCGCGAGGGGGAGCAAAUCCCAAAAAACACGCCCCAGUUCAGAUCGGAGGCUGCAACUCGCCUCCGUGAAGGUGGAAUCGCUAGUAAUCGCAGGUCAGCAACACUGCGGUGAAUGUGUUCCU
rnacentral:rRNA from 1 species